UGUAGCAAAAUAGUGCAGUAAACUUAAAAUUUAUUUAAAAAGUUAAUCUUUCUUUAGA
rnacentral:tRNA from 3 species